UGAAUGGCAAGACGAGAGCCUGACUGUCUCCUCUUUUUAUAUUGAAACUUCUCUGGCCGUGCAAAAGCGGCUAUACAAGCGCUAGACGAGAAGACCCUAUCGAGCUUAAGAAAGAUAAGAAAAACGAAAAGCUAAUCUAAAUGAAAAUAAGGUUACAAACUAACACAAUUCAUAACUUUAGCUUUACUUUCCCUCUUUUUAUUUCUUUGGUUGGGGCAACCGCGGAGAACACCCACCCUCCGAACCACACUACUAUUAACCGACAUUUUGUCUUAAACACAAACCUAAUGGAAAAUGAUCCGGUAAAACCGAACAAUAAACCAAGUUACCGUAGGGAUAACAGCGUAAUCCCUCCCAAGAGCCCGCAUUGCCGGAGGGGUUUGCGACCUCGAUGUUGGAUCGGGGAAUCCCGACGGUGCAGCCGCUGUCAAAGGUUGGUCUGUUCGACCAUUAAAACCCC
rnacentral:rRNA from 1 species